UGCUGCUGGAGUAAACCACGUUAAAGAAUUGAGAAUUAAAAUAACACAUUGUGACAAGAUUCUAAAAGUAUAUGGCAUGUGGAGAAACUUAGCUUACAAUUGAAAUACAGACGUUUUGGGCUGGUGUGGAAAAACUGCAUAACACUCACAGAAGGAGCUGGAAACAACGUAAUUUACGGAUAUCUUUGAAAGAGCAUGAAGAUCGUGAAAUGUCCAAAAAGUUAACAAAGAGGCAAACAGGAGCUAGAGAAAGGAAGUCAAAGAAAGAUGAAGCAGCAAGAAUUGAAAUUUGAGGGGUAAAUUUUCCUAAUGUUAAAUAAAACAUAUGCAAGACAA